rnacentral:rRNA from 1 species
AGGUCGACCUUGGCUCAAGAUGAACGCUGGCGGCGUGCCUAAUACAUGCAAGUAAAACGCUGAAGCUUGGUGCUUGCACCGACCGGAUGAGUUGCGAACGGGUGAGUAACGCGUAGGUAACCUGCCUCUUACCGGGGGAUAACUAUUGUAAACGAUAGCUAAUACCGCAUAUAAGUCGAUAUCGCAUGAUAUUGAUUUGAAAGGUGCAAAUGCAUCACUAAGAGAUGGACCUGCGUUGUAUUAGCUAGUUGGUGAGGUAACGGCUCACCAAGGCAACGAUACAUAGCCGACCUGAGAGGGUGAUCGGCCACACUGGGACUGAGACACGGCCCAGACUCCUACGGGAGGCAGCAGUAGGGAAUCUUCGGCAAUGGACGGAAGUCUGACCGAGCAACGCCGCGUGAGUGAAGAAGGUUUUCGGAUCGUAAAGCUCUGUUGUAAGAGAAGAACGAGUGUGAGAGUGGAAAGUUCACACUGUGACGGUAACUUACCAGAAAGGGACGGCUAACUACGUGCCAGCAGCCGCGGUAAUACGUAGGUCCCGAGCGUUAUCCAGAUUUAUUGGGCGUAAAGCGAGCGCAGGCGGUUAGAUAAGUCUGAAGUUAAAGGCUGUGGCUUAACCAUAGUACGCUUUGGAAACUGUUUAACUUGAGUGCAGAAGGGGAGAGUGGAAUUCCAUGUGUAGCGGUGAAAUGCGUAGAUAUAUGGAGGAACACCGGUGGCGAAAGCGGCUCUCUGGUCUGUAACUGACGCUGAGGCUCGAAAGCGUGGGGAGCAAACCAGGAUUAGAUACCCUGGUAGUCCACGCCGUAAAC